AUAUAUUUUCUACGUCUCUGUCUCCCAUAUAUGGUAAUACACACAAACAUGCAGUCUGAUUAAGUGGUCUCAUAUUACAAGGUCACGAGGGAUGUUGUCACAUAUGUGUAUAGCCAGGUUACCUUGAGGUUUUCAGAUCCGAAGAG